rnacentral:rRNA from 1 species
CACGUAGAAGGCUAGUGUUAUUCAUCUUUAUUAGGUUUAAAGGGUACUUAGACGGGAAAUCAAGCCAUAAUAGGAACUAAAUUUUCUAGAGUUUUAUAAGAGAAGGGGCGAAUUUCUGGAGGAAAGUUGAUAUUUUGUGAUACUGGAAGGACGGGUAACGGCGAAGGCAACCUUUUAUGUAAAACUGACGUGAGGGACGAAGCCUUG